AGAGUUUGAUCAUGGCUCAGGACGAACGCUGGCGGCGCGCUUAACACAUGCAAGUCGAGCGAGAACCAGGGCUUCGGCCCUGGGGACAGCGGCGAACGGGUGAGUAACACGUGGAUAACCUGCCCUCGGCACCGGGAUAGCCCGAGGAAACUCGGAUUAAUACCGGAUAGCCUUUCCGACUCUCGGGUCGGUUCGAAAAGGUAGCUUCGGCCUCUGGCCGAGGAUGGGUCCGCGGCGGAUUAGCUUGUUGGUGGGGUAAUGGCCUACCAAGGCUCCGAUCCGUAGCUGGUCUGAGAGGACGAUCAGCCACACUGGGACUGAGACACGGCCCAGACUCCUACGGGAGGCAGCAGUGGGGAAUCUUGCCCAAUGGGCGAAAGCCUGAGGCAGCGACGCCGCGUGAGGGAAGAAGGCCUUCGGGUUGUAAACCUCUUUCAGGAGGGACGAAGCUACUCGGGUUAAUAGCCCAGAGGGUGACGGUACUUCCAGAAGAAGCCCCGGCUAACUACGUGCCAGCAGCCGCGGUAAUACGUAGGGGGCAAGCGUUGUCCGGAUUUACUGGGCGUAAAGAGCGUGUAGGCGGCCGCACAGGUCCGUUGUGAAAACUGGAGGCUUAACCUCCAGACGUCGACGGAAACCGUGUGGCUAGAGUCCGGAAGAGGAGAGUGGAAUUCCCGGUGUAGCGGUGAAAUGCGCAGAU
rnacentral:rRNA from 1 species